UACGUAGGGGGCAAGCGUUAUCCGGAUUUACUGGGUGUAAAGGGAGCGUAGACGGAGCAGCAAGUCUGAUGUGAAAGGCGGGGGCUCAACCCCUGGACUGCAUUGGAAACUGUUGAUCUUGAGUACCGGAGAGGUAAGCGGAAUUCCUAGUGUAGCGGUGAAAUGCGUAGAUAUUAGGAGGAACACCAGUGGCGAAGGCGGCUUACUGGACGGUAACUGACGUUGAGGCUCGAAAGCGUGGGGAGCAAACAGG
rnacentral:rRNA from 1 species